rnacentral:rRNA from 1 species
AUUGAACGCUGGCGGCAGGCCUAACACAUGCAAGUCGAACGAGUGGCGGACGGGUGAGUAAUGUCUGGGAAACUGCCCGAUGGAGGGGGAUAACUACUGGAAACGGUGGCUAAUACCGCAUACCAUCGGAUGUGCCCAGAUGGGAUUAGAUAGUAGGUGGGGUAACGGCUCACCUAGGCGACGAUCCAGAGCUGGUCGGAGAGGAUGGCCUGCCACACUUGAACUGAGACACGGUCCAUGAUCCUACGUGAGGCAUCAGUGGCGAAUAUUGCACAAUGUGCGCAAGCCUGAUGCAGCCAUGCCGCGUGUAUGAAGAAGGCCUUCGGGUUGUAAAGUACUUGCAUCGGGGAGGCGUUACCCGCAGAAGAAGCACCGGCUAACUCCGUGCCAGCAGCCGCGGUAAUAC